AAGAAGAGGUCGGAAACUCAAGAUCGUAGAAGUGCAAGAAGGGAGUUUUUACAGGCAGAAAUUCAAGUGUGCUUAGAACGUCCUGCGUACCUCUAUAAAAAACAGCACGCGAUGGGAUUUCAGAGAUCGAAAAGGCGAGCUCAGAAAUCGAAGAGGCCAACUCAAAAAUCAAAGAGGCGUUAGCUUUCUCAAAAGCUGGGCUUGCUUAGAAACCACGACCAGUCUUCUUUUCCAGAUUUGUCCGCACUUGUCACAUGCAACCUCUGCACUCAACGGGAUUUCAGAGAUCGAAGAGGCAAUUCCAGAUAUCGGAGAGGCAUCUGUUUUUCCAGACAUGUCAGCAUCUGUCACAUGCAAAGUAAGCUUUGCGAAAAUCACGGGCAGUUUGUCGAAGCACCGAUUCUAACCAUCUACUUUUCCAGACGUGUCAACAUCUAUCACAUGCAGAGUCAGCUUUACGGAAAUCACGGGCAGUUUGUCGAAACGCCGAUUCCAGAUAUCGAAGAGGCACUUGCUUUUCCAGACGUGUCAGCGCCUAUCACAUGCACACUCAGCUUUACGGAAAUCACGGGCAAUCUGUCGACGAUUUCUGGUGAAGUAGAAAGCAUGUGAAGUUUACUGUUCAAUCAUCCAAUGGUUGCCGAGAGGAGUGAAAGAACAGUACCGGUUAUUAUUUCCUAUAAAUGUCGACCUUCACUAUAUAGUUUACAAUAAACUUAGUGAACCAUUUGGAUAGGGACACAAAAGUGAAGUCCUUGCCUAGUUUCCAUCUCUAGAAGUGGUUUAACACUUCAACACUCAAUGAUUCAAAAUCAUCAUAAGUCCAUGUUGAUGAACUAUUUUUGUCAACCAACCAUUAUGUUCUAAACACAAUUACAAACUUUCAAGAGUUGUUCAAGGCAACUCUCAUUUCUUCAUACAACAAUUUGUAAGUGAAGAAUCAUGG
rnacentral:lncRNA from 1 species